AGGAGGCGUGAUGAUUGUUAUCCAUACAAGUCUGUAUAUAUCACAACUUGAUGAUUCUACAACAUGCACUACCAUCUGAUCUCUU